GUGUUCGCUUUGGCAGCAUUUGUACUAAAAUUGGAAUGAUACAGAGAAGAUUAGCAUGGUCCCUGAACAAGGAUGACAUGCAAAUUCGUGAAGCGUUCCAUAGUCUA
rnacentral:snRNA from 1 species